CAGGGGAAAAAAUGGCGGCCCAGAAGGAGCGUGCUGCUUCGAUUCGGCUGGGUGAGCUCCGAGCCAGCGCUCUCAGCGCCACUUUUUGUGGCGUUUCCCGAUGUGGGAGAACGGGCUGUGGUGUCAGCAGAGCCGGGAGCAGGCAGCAGGAUGCAGGAGCAACAUGGCACAAAUUGCAGUGAUGGGAAGGGGCUGGAAGAAGCUGGAUUUCACACAGUGGAGGCUGUGGAUUCUGCACCAGAGAAGGAGCUGCUGAGCAUCAAAGGCAUCAGGGAAAAGUGAAACCAAAGCUGACAAAAUCCCAGUAAGGAUGUUCUGGAGCUUUAACCCAAGAUAUUCCACAGGGUUAUCUCUGCUGGCUGGAAGUGUUGUGGUGAAUUUGGAAGGUCUCCAAAUGGCAGUAAAGGUGACUGGAGUUGUGACAUGACUUGUGAUGGGAAAAGGCAAAAUGCACCAGGACAGGACUGAACUCAUGGGAAGGAUAUUUCCAUAAAAUACACAAAAGGGAUGUUGGAACUUUUUCUUGGAGCAGAAUUUCAGUUCUGUGCAGAAGUACCAGCUUGUGCAAGGUCUGUGAAAUGUGCAUGGGAUGAUACAGGCACCUCUCCACAAGGCAGGAAAUAUUAAUUACCGGGGGUUAAUGAAUGGCAUGAGCUCUCCUGGCACUGCUCACUUGGGUUUUCCCUCAGGCUGAGGCAGCCAUGUUUCCAUGGGCUUCACCAUGGCCACGGAAUUCCACCAGCAGUGGUCAGACAUCAUCCAGAUCACCACUGGCUCCAAAGAACUGGGCAAGCUGCUUCAAGGAGAAAUAGAAACAGGAUCCAUAAUGGAGUUAUUUGGGGAAUUCCAUACUGGGAAGGAGCAGCUGUGUCCCAGCCAGGCAGUCACUGCUCAGCUCCCCAUAGACUGCAGGGAGUAAGGGAAAAGCCACAUCCAUGGGCACAGAGGGGACUUUGCAUCCAGAGCAGCUCCUGGCCGUGGCUGAAAGGUCAGUGAGUGGCAGACAGGAGCAGAUGGACUCACAGCUCAGCUGGAAAAUGUUCCCACAGGUGCUGGAGGCUGAUCUGGCAGGUGUUCCCUUUGGAAAGCUCCGGUGUUGCCGUUCCUCUCCCAUCUCUGCCGCUCUCUCCCCACAGCUCUUGUGUCAUUGUCCUCACAGGAAUGGCCUCUGGCAGCCCUGGACAAGGUGGCUCUGCCAGGGCUUUAACAGCACCCGCCAGGCCCAGCUGCUGGAUCAGGCUGAAGACUGACAACUCCUUUUCCUGCAUCCCCAGGGAUGUUUCCCUGUGCCUCCUGGGCAGGGAUCCCAUGGGACCACACCCCUGGGUGUCCCUGGAGAAUUGGGUUUCCUCGGUGAAGCAAAGCUGAAGGGUUUGUCCAUGGAGGGAAUGGUGAUUUAUAAACCAAAGCAGAGUGGUACUGCACACCAGGGAUUUGGGAUGAUCCCAAUCCAUGAUCUUUCUGUUCAUUUUCUCUUGGAUGCUGCAGCCUGCUGUCCUGGGGAAGCUGUUCCUUUCCAUUUCCAUCUAAUUUCCUGCAUUUCAUUAAUUGUCUGUGGAAAUCUGCUUUUAAUGGAAAGGCCCAGGAGGAUAUUGGUGACAUCCCGGGCUCCUGGGAUUCACAGGUGUGCGCUCAGACCAAGGAUUGUCCUGGCUGGCAGCAGCUGCACCAACCUCCCAGGAAUGUCAGUCUGGAUUUGUCUUUUCUCCCAAUUCUCCCAGUUCUCAGUCUGGGGGUGCAGUGCAGCCCAGCCCUGUGCAUCUCCUAGAAGUUCUGGGGUUAAAAAUGUUCUUUUAUAAUCUGCAAUAUUUCCCUAGAAACUCCAUUAAAUAAAGAAUAAAACGGUAUCAGUAUCA